UACCGGGGGUGCAAACGUUGCUCGGAAUUAUUGGGCGUAAAGAGCUCGUAGGCGGUUUGUUGCGUCGGCUGUGAAAUCCCGAGGCUCAACCUCGGGUCUGCAGUCGAUACGAGCAAACUAGAGUGUUGCAGGGGAGACUGGAAUUCCUGGUGUAGCGGUGAAAUGCGCAGAUAUCAGGAGGAACACCGGUGGCGAAGGCGGGUCUCUGGGCAACAACUGACGCUGAGGAGCGAAAGCGUGGGGAGCGAACAGG
rnacentral:rRNA from 1 species